GCAAAGCCACGCGCCCCUCUUCCUCUCUUUCCUUCCAUUUCUCAAAAUCCCCCUAACUUCUCUCUCUCUCACAUCCCUUUUCUCCUCGUCUCUCUAAAUUUUUCAGUUUCCUCUCAUUUCCCUCUUUUCUCCAUACAAUCCUCACAUAAAAAAGGAAAAGAAUGUCGUCGACCGGAGCAAUAACGAAGAAUUACCACUGUUACGAAUGUGAACAUACAGUCACCAUUACAUCAUCACCAAAUUCCGAACUCACUUGUCCCAAUUGCAACUCCACCUUUCUAGAAGAUUCCGAUACCGCUCCAAUCCCUAACCCUAACCCUAAUAACAACAACCACCCCUUCUUCUCCGCCGCCACCUCCGAUGACCUCCCUUUCGGAGGCGGCGCCGCCGGCGGAUUCCCAAUCGUCUUCUCAUCCUCCUCCGCAGGCGGCGCCGGUAAUCCCGUCCCUUUUGAUGAGCUCAACGCUCUAUUUAACGGUAUGUCUGGUGCUGGUUCGGGUCGAUCCAACAAUCAAUUUGACCCGUUUGCUUUUCUCAACAACUAUUUCAAUACUAUGAGAGCUGGUGCUGGUGGUGGUGCGAAUGUUCAGUUGAUAUUUGAGAAUCAUCCUGGUGGUGAAUUUAGGGUUCCAGGGAAUUUGGGGGAUUAUUUUCUUGGGCCUGGGCUUGAGCAAUUGAUUCAACAGCUAGCGGAAAAUGAUCCGAAUCGUUACGGUACGCCACCGGCUUCGAAAUCGGUUGUUGCUGGGCUUCCUGAUGUUAAGAUUAAAGAGGAGUUGUUGGAUUCGGAUUCGUCUCAAUGUGCUGUUUGUAAAGAUACUUUUGAACUCGGUGAGGUGGCGAAACAGAUACCUUGUAAACAUAUAUAUCAUAAGGAUUGUAUAAUGCCGUGGUUGGAAAUGCAUAAUUCUUGCCCUGUUUGUCGGUAUGAGUUGCCAACUGAUGAUCCUGAUUAUGAGAAUAGGAAAACAUCGCAGUCACAGACUGCUAAUACUAGUAAUAUGAAUACCAAUACUAGUGGUAAUAACAAUAAUAAUAAUACCGUCAACGACAACACCAAUAAUACUGGUUGGAUAUUUGGGGGUUCAGAAGGUGGUGGGGGAAAUCAGGAGAAUUCUCGAACAGGAGAGAGGAGGCUUAGGAUACCAUUACAAUGGCUUUUUAGGGGACUUGGAUCACCUGCUGAGACGAGCAACAGUGGAGGAGCGAGCCAUGAUACUAACAAUCGCAACAACAACAAUAAUACGAGCAACGAUGGUCCUCGUGAGGAGUCUAAUCCGGAUUCUGGAGGGCAAGCGAGGCAGGAGGAUCUCGAUUAAAGUAUGGAGUUAGAGUUCUGAGGAGCUCCCCUUUGCUCCCUUGGAUGUCAUGGUGACUUAAUUAUUAGCAAAAACAGAAUUGAAGAGAUGAGCGCCCUUCUCAAAAGACAGGAGUUUGGAGAGAGGGGAGGUUGGGGAAAUGCAAUUGUGAGAGCCGAGGUUUCUCCAGUGUGUACCAAGUUGUAAAAGAACAUAAUACAGUGAGGAGUAGAGAUCAAUGAUUUAAUAGUGUGCCAGUUGUAAUGAUUAGUGGUAAAACUUGUCACUCAAAAUUUCCAACUUAUACAUCCUUCAUAGUUCUGUAAAAAAAGGUUUACUCCAGUUUCACAUUAUUGUAUAUUUUUUUUGAAACGCAAUUUUGUAAAUCUCAGUCCUUCCUUGAAUAGA